GGCAACGGGAAUUAAUACUUGAUGACAUUCAAAGAUGGCAUCAUCAAUGAAUCAAAGUUCCGGCGGUUAUAGAUGGGCAUGCGUGACAUUAGCUAGUUGGUGAGGUAGAGGCUCACCAAGGCGACGAUGUCUAGGGGGUCUGAGAGGAUGAUCCCCCACACUGGUACUGAGACACGGACCAGACUCCUACGGGAGGCAGCAGUGAGGAAUAUUGCGCAAUGGAGGAAACUCUGACGCAGCCAUCCCGCGUGCAGGAUUGACGGCCCUAUGGGUUGUAAACUGCUUUUCUAUACCAAGAAACACCGAUACGUGUAUCGGUUUGCCGGUAGUAUAGGAAUAAGCAUCGGCUAACUCCGUGCCAGCAGCCGCGGUAAUACGGAGGAUGCAAGCGUUAUCCGGAAUCACUGGGUUUAAAGGGUGCGCAGGCGGAAUAGUAAGUCAGAGGUGAAAGCCCACAGCUCAACUGUGGAAUUGCCUUUGAUACUGUUAUUCUUGUGUGUAGUUGAAGUAGGCGGAAUAUAGCAUGUAGCGGUGAAAUGCAUAGAUAUGCUAUAGAACACCAAUUGCGAAUGCAGCUUGCUAAACUAUAACUGACGCUGAGGCACGAAAGCGUGGGGGAGCGAACAGGGAUUAGAUACCCUGGUAGUCCACGCCGUAAACUAUGAACACUCGCUGUUGGCAAUACACAGUCAGCGGCUGAGCGAAAGCGUUAAGUGUUCCACCUGGGAAGUACGAUCGCAAGGUUUGAAACUCAAAGGAAUUGACGGGGGCCCGCACAAGCGGAGGAGCAUGUGGUUUAAUUCGAUGAUACGCGAGGAACCUUACCUGGGCUUUAAAUGUAUAUUGACGUACUGAGAAAUCAGUAUUUCUUCGGACAAUUUACAAGGUGCUGCAUGGUUGUCGUCAGCUCGUGCCGUGAGGUGUCGGGUUAAGUCCCAUAACGAGCGCAACCCCUACUUCUAGUUACCAGCAUUUCGGAUGGGGACUCUAGAGGAACUGCCUACGCAAGUAGAGAGGAAGGUGGGGAUGACGUCAAAUCAGCACGGCCCUUAUGUCCAGGGCUACACACGUGCUACAAUGGCCGGUACAGAGGGCAGCUACAUAGCAAUAUGAUGCUAAUCUCAAAAGC
rnacentral:rRNA from 1 species